rnacentral:rRNA from 1 species
ACGUAGGGGGCAAGCGUUAUCCGGAUUUACUGGGUGUAAAGGGAGCGUAGACGGCGAUGCAAGUCUGGAGUGAAAGCCCGGGGCUCAACCCCGGGACUGCUUUGGAAACUGUGUUGCUAGAGUGCAGGAGAGGUAAGUGGAAUUCCUAGUGUAGCGGUGAAAUGCGUAGAUAUUAGGAGGAACACCAGUGGCGAAGGCGGCUUACUGGACUGUAACUGACGUUGAGGCUCGAAAGCGUGGGGAGCAAACAGG